AUUGAACGCUGGCGGCAGGCCUAACACAUGCAAGUCGAACGAGUGGCAGACGGGUGAGUAAUGUCUGGGAAACUGCCUGCUGGAGGGGGAUAACUACUGGAAACGGUAGCUAAUCCCGCAUACCAUCGGAUGUGCCCAGAUGGGAUUGGCUAGUAGGUGGGGUAAAGGCUCACCUAGGCGACGAGCCCUAGCUGGUCUGAGAGGAUGACCAGCCACACUGGAACGUAGACACGGUCCAGACUCCUACGUGAGGCAGCAGUGGGGAAUAUUGCACAAUGGGCGCAAGCCUGAUGCAGCCAUGCCGCGUGUAUGAAGAAGGCCUGCGGGUUGUAAAGUACUUUCAGCGGGGAGGCGUUACCCGCAGAAGAAGCACCGGCGAACUCCGUGCCAGCAGCCGCGGUAAUUC
rnacentral:rRNA from 1 species